UGGGCUGUUUGUCGAGCCGUUUAAAAGCCAUGACAUGUUAACAAGAGUGAGGAUAUUUACGGAAAACGCUGACCUCCGGCGCGGCUGAAUUCGGUGGUUUGAUGCAUCAUGCAGGACUCGGUCAUGUGUGAAGGAGGGACACACUCGUCUGCACCGGGCGAAAUGGACAACUGACAGUCGUUUCCAUGGAGAGGUUCGAGGUGACGUGCUGUAGCACUCUCUUGCGGUCGUAUUGGAGGUCAGCUCAUGGUCGUAACGGCUAAAUGUGCGUACGGCUUUGCUGUUUACAACAUGGAGAAAACAAAUAACUUCACUGCUGUUUGUGGCUGUUAAAGUCCGACUAAAAUUAUUAUUAAAAUGUUAUUAAAUGUUAUUAUUAAAAUCUGUACAUUAUA